rnacentral:rRNA from 1 species
GAUGAACGCUGGCGGCGUGCCUAAUACAUGCAAGUCGAGCGAACGGACGAGAAGCUUGCUUCUCUGAUGUUAGCGGCGGACGGGUGAGUAACACGUGGAUAACCUACCUAUAAGACUGGGAUAACUUCGGGAAACCGUAGCUAAUACCGGAUAAUAUUUUGAACCGCAUGGUUCAAAAGUGAAAGACGGUCUUGCUGUCACUUAUAGAUGGAUCCGCGCUGCAUUAGCUAGUUGGUAAGGUAACAGCUUACCAAGGCAACGAUGCAUAGCCGACCUGAGAGGGGGAUCGGCCACACUGGAGCUGGGCCGCCGUCCAUACUCCUCCGGGAGGCAGCAGUAGGGAAUCUUCCGCAAUGGGCGAAAGCCUGACGGAGCAACGCCGCGUGAGUGAUGACGGUCUUCGGAUCGUAAAACUCUGUUAUUAGGGAAGAACAUAUGUGUAAGUAACUGUGCACAUCUUGACGGUACCUAAUCAGAAAGCCACGGCUAACUACGUG